UACGUAGGGGGCAAGCGUUGUCCGGAAUCAUUGGGCGUAAAGCGCGCGUAGGCGGCCAGAUUAGUCCGGUGUGAAAGUCAGAGGCUCAACCUUUGAAUGCCGCUGGAAACUGUCUGGCUUGAGUCCGGAAGGGGCGAGUGGAAUUCCUGGUGUAGCGGUGAAAUGCGCAGAUAUCGGGAGGAACGCCGGUGGCGAAAGCGACUGUCUGGGGUGCCUGUGACGCUGAGGCGCGAAAGCCAGGGGAUCAAACGGG
rnacentral:rRNA from 1 species